UGUAUGUGUCACACAUACCUACUGCACUGUACCUUGCCAUUACUGAUUUUGUUUUGCAUUAGCACAGUAUACAUGAUCCCAAUUCGGUGGCAACUUAAAAAGUAGAUUGUGCUGAUUUACUGGCACAUUGAACCAUGUUGCGUGCUGUAGUUUGUGGAUAGUGGUAAAAACAACGAUUUCAGAUCUGAAUUCCUCCAUCUUUAUGCACCUUUGCCAUUUUCCUGUUUGACUUUCCAUAAUGGGCAGAACAAUUUAAAGACGUUGCUGUAGUUCUUUUCAUGCUGCUGGAAUUGCAAUCCGUGUUGAAAGAUCUGCAGCUUCCUGAAAAAUGGCAACUGGAUUUCACAGAGUUUCCUUACUACUUGCAGUGUUUGUGGGUGUACAUGGUGUUGUGCCUUCAAUGGGUUGCAUGUUGGGAUAGAUACCUUGUGGUGUCUGCACUCUUGGCAUUUACUGGUAUUGAACCUAAGUCUCACUUAUUGACUUGACCUUGGAACAGAACAUGCACAAUGACUUUGAGGUCAGUCUCCACUAUGAACACAUUUAUGGACAAUGGCGGUGUAGAAACCAGACUCCCCCUUCACGCCCAUUCUGUGCCACCCCCUCUUCACCAUUAACCAAAACGGUCAUUGCGAAGCGUGUGUUUACCAUGUACCUGGGGAACUUCCCCUACGAUGUUGGCCUGGUGGCUGUGAAGCCCAAGGGACACUACUUCACCAUACCAGAGGCUAUUCAAAAUGUCUACCCAGUCACUAGGGGUUGCCAUGCCAACUGAACCGAUGUGGCUGUCAUCCAGGUUCCUUUCGAAGACCCCCAUUGUUCCAUGAAUGUCCCUCCAGCCUUCAAAGGCAUCUGCACAGAGGGCAUCAGAGCUUCCAGCGGGGCAUCCAGCCAUUCAAAUACAUGUGGGAGGUUGGCGUCGGCCCUGACCGCAAUGCAGCGUAGGUACAUUAUGCUCUGCGAAAACCAGUGUGACCCUGGAUGUUUCUCUCCACGAUUGGAUACAUCUGAGAAGGACAACCAGUAUGAUGAAUGGGAUCAUGUUCUACAAGCAAUACUCACCCAAAGACGGGCCUGUCGUCAUCCAGACAACUUAUAGUUUAGCUUUGCCAGUACCCACAAGGAAGACUCCAGUUGUGAUGACGCCAACUACCACUACAAAAUAUCCUGUAACAACCUGCAAGCCUGAAAUUCAUACGGGGCACACACCCAGCCAAACUUAAACAUUUAAUUAAUACUCUAAUGUUUUUACUCUAUUUAAAAUGCGUUUACACAGGCAGCUCAAGCCAUAUUUUUUUCACUAGUUGAUCUUGGGGGGGAGAGAGAGAUGGACACUUCAAGUAGUGUUACCCAACAUUCUAGCAAAACCAUUUGCAUGCUCAUUGUGAAGACAUUGAAAUAGAAUUGUAAAAUUGGAUCAUAAAGAACCUGUCAUUGUUCUCUAUAGCAAAUGUGUUUUGUUAUGCAGUCGAGUACCUGUGCCAUUUGUUUUGAAGUAAAGCUUGUAUAUUCCGAAAUAUCAAAGACAUUAACUAAUGCGUAUAACAACUUAAAGCCUGUGUAAAGGUGCAAUCUGCAGUUGCUACACAUUUCUUUGGGACUUAAA